rnacentral:piRNA from 1 species
UCAAGAACGUUAUGCUUUACA